rnacentral:rRNA from 1 species
CCUACGGGAGGCAGCAGUGGGGAAUCUUGCGCAAUGGGCGAAAGCCUGACGCAGCCAUGCCGCGUGUAUGAUGAAGGUCUUAGGAUUGUAAAAUACUUUCACCGGUGAAGAUAAUGACUGUAGCCGGAGAAGAAGCCCCGGCUAACUUCGUGCCAGCAGCCGCGGUAAUACGAAGGGGGCUAGCGUUGCUCGGAAUUACUGGGCGUAAAGGGAGCGUAGGCGGACAUUUAAGUCAGAGGUGAAAUCCCGGAGCUUAACUUCGGAACUGCCUUUGAUACUGGGUGUCUUGAGUGUGAGAGAGGUAUGUGGAACUCCGAGUGUAGAGGUGAAAUUCGUAGAUAUUCGGAAGAACACCAGUGGCGAAGGCGACAUACUGGCUCAUUACUGACGCUGAGGCUCGAAAGCGUGGGGAGCAAACAGGAUUAGAUACCCUGGUAGUCCACGCCGUAAACGAUGAUUGCUAGUUGUCGGGAAGCUUGCUUCUCGGUGACGCAGCUAACGCAUUAAGCAAUCCGCCUGGGGAGUACGGUCGCAAGAUUAAAACUUAAAGGAAUUGACGG